rnacentral:rRNA from 1 species
GACGGAGGAUGCAAGCGUUAUCCGGAAUGAUUGGGCGUAAAGCGUCCGCAGGUGGCAGUUCAAGUCUGCUGUCAAAGACCGGGGCUUAACUUCGGAAAGGCAGUGGAAACUGAACAGCUAGAGUAUGGUAGGGGCAGAGGGAAUUCCUGGUGUAGCGGUGAAAUGCGUAGAGAUCAGGAAGAACACCCGUGGCGAAAGCGGCUCUCUGGAACGGUACUGACGCUGAGACGCGAAAGCGUGGGGAGCGAACAGG